rnacentral:rRNA from 1 species
UACGUAGGGGGCAAGCGUUAUUCGGAAUUACUGGGUGUAAAGGGUGCGUAGGUGGUAUGGCAAGUCAGAAGUGAAAACCCAGGGCUUAACUCUGGGACUGCUUUUGAAACUGUCAGACUGGAGUGCAGGAGAGGUAAGCGGAAUUCCUAGUGUAGCGGUGAAAUGCGUAGAUAUUAGGAGGAACAUCAGUGGCGAAGGCGGCUUACUGGACUGAAACUGACACUGAGGCACGAAAGCGUGGGGAGCAAACAGG